CGUUUACUUUGAAAAAAUUGGAGUGCUCAAAGCAAGCGUACAGUCGCUAUGCGGCUUGAACAGUGGUGCAUGGAAUAAUGGAAUAGGGCCUCGGUUCUAUUUUGUUGGUUUUCAGAUAUCGAGGUAAUGAUUAAGAGGGACAGUCGGGGACAUUUGUAUUGCGACGUUAGAGGUGAAAUUCUUGGAUCGUCGCAAGACACACUAAUGCGAAAGCAUUUGUCUAGCAUGUUUUCAUUGAUCAAGAACGAAAGUUAGAGGUUCGAAGGCGAUCAGAUACCGCCCUAGUUCUAACCAUAAACGAUGCCAACCAGCGAUCCGUCGGUGUUCUCAAUUAUGAAUGACCUGACGGGCAGCUUCCGGGAAACCAAAGUUUUCGGGUUCCGGGGGAAGUAUGGUUGCAAAGCUGAAACUUAAAGGAAUUGACGGAAGGGCACCACCAGGAGUGGAGCCUGCGGCUUAAUUUGACUCAACACGGG
rnacentral:rRNA from 1 species